AGUGGCGGACGGGUGAGUAACGCGUGAGAAUCUGCCUUGGGGUCGGGGACAACCACUGGAAACGGUGGCUAAUACCGGAUAAGCCGAUUGGUGAAAGAUUUAUUGCCCGAAGAGGAGCUCGCGUCUGAUUAGCUAGUUGGUGAGGUAAGAGCUCACCAAGGCAGCGAUCAGUAGCUGGUCUGAGAGGACGAUCAGCCACACUGGGACUGAGACACGGCCCAGACUCCUACGGGAGGCAGCAGUGGGGAAUUUUCCGCAAUGGGCGAAAGCCUGACGGAGCAAGACCGCGUGAGGGAGGAAGGCUCUUGGGUUGUAAACCUCUUUUCUCAGGGAAGAAGCUCUGACGGUACCUGAGGAAUCAGCCUCGGCUAACUCCGUGCCAGCAGCCGCGGUAAUACGGAGGAGGCAAGCGUUAUCCGGAAUUAUGGGGCGUAAAGCGUCCGCAGGUGGCGAUUCAAGUCUGCUGUCAAAGCACGGGGCUUAACUCCGUAAAGGCAGUGGAAACUGAAUAGCUAGAGUGCCGUAGGGGUAGAGGGAAUUCCCGGUGUAGCGGUGAAAUGCGUAGAGAUCGGGAAGAACAUCGGUGGCGAAAGCGCUCUACUGGACGGCAACUGACACUCAGGGACGAAAGCUAGGGGAGCGAAUGGGAUUAGAUACCCC
rnacentral:rRNA from 1 species